UUUGAAUCUAGUUAUUAAUUAUAGACUUUUAAGUUAGAUUUACUAGUUAAAGAAGCUUUACUAUAUGCUUGAUAUAUCAGGCCACCAAGAUGAGGGUUUAGCCAAGGAGAAAAAUGUAUGAGAAUGAAUUGCUUCAUACGUAUGGGAUUUGUGUCUGACUGUUGGAUCUGAGCGUCUUUUUACCUCUGUGAUGUUCGAAUUUGAUCAUUGUUAGAUGGGGUCUUCUGUAGUCCAGGGUGGUUUGGAACUUACUAUAAUAGUUUUGGCUUUGAGCUUCUGAUCAUCUUGUGUCCACAUCCCAAAUCCAGGGUUUACAGGAAUACACAAACAUGCCUGAUCCAUUUAUGAUGUUUUUGAUAUUUGCUUGAUUUGCUAAUAAGCUGAGACUAUGGGACCAGUGACAGGGCUUCCUUAGGCCUUGAAUUAUUUAUAUUUGGAUGGGGUCAAAAUGGAAGUCAAAAAUACAUUGUGUUGGAGAAGAGGUUAUGCUUUUAUUUUCACAGAAAAUGAAAGGCUGUGGAUUCAUUGAAGGUUGACUGAGAUCAGAUUUGAUCUGGGGAGACCCCCUGAAAGUCCUGGCUGCAGACACAAAGCAAUAAACCUAGAAAAGCUACAACAUAUGUUUUCCCUGCUCAAACACAGAACAAAUCAUCUUGGACUGGACUGCGUACAAUGCACAGUCCAUGCUUGUGCUAAUGCAGACAUGUAUGUUACCUUUGAAAGUUGAUGUGUUUUCAGAGCAAGGGAACCAGACACCAAUGAGUGACCCAGGUGAUCCAGCCUCUCAGAUGCCUCUGCUGCAGUUUCCUCAGAGUUCUGCAUUCAGAACAGCUCCACAGCUGCUGGCUGAGAUGGUCCAACUUCACAGAUUAUUCUAGUCAGGACUUAACUAUUAUCCUAAUUUUCUCAAGGAUCUCCAAAAUGUCAACCCUCCUCCCCCAGACAACAGGAAUCAGUCUAAAGACGCAACACCCACCUUCUCAAGAGAUGAGGUGGGUGGUUUUUGGUCAUUCAUGGGUUAUGGAUAUUUAUCAUUGUUUAGGGAGGGUUGGUUAAAAAUUGUUAUUGGUCUUGGUCAGAAAAAAGAUUAAUAAAUGAGAUUAGAUUCAGGGAUCUCUUUCUGAAAAAGAAAGGGGGGAUAUAGUAUGAAACAAUAGGAUAAAAAGAUAGCUUAUUGAGUCUACUUUUAAACUAAAAGAAACAAAUACUAAUCUUAAAUAUUUUACAUUAGUAUGGAUUUUUAUAUAUUGAUACAAAUUUAAGGUUACUUUGUUAUACUGUAUAUUUUUCUACUUUUGUUUAAGGUAUUUUAUAAAAAUUUAAGGUUAUUUUUGUUAGGACAUACUAUACAUAAGUUUCUACUCUUGUUAAGGUGUUGUACCUGUAAAGCUAAUUUAGCAAGGUAAUGUAAAUUUCUAGUCCUUGAAAUCUAUUUUUAUAAACUAUUUAGGAUAAAAAAGAAAUGUAGGUUAAUAGUUUGCUAUCUAUAUCAAUCAAAGUUGUAGUCAUGUUAGGUAUGUUUUUAAGGUCAAACAUAUUUUUGAUAGAUAGGUGAUCUUCAAACACUUCAAAGACCUACAGAAUAUGACAUUUAAAAUGUUUGAAUAACAUAAGGUUUUUCAUGACAAUAAGACACGUCUGCUCCUGACAGCACCAGUUUUAUGAUGGACAUUGAAGAAACUCUAUACAGACUUUCUCUUCAGCUUGAUGUCUGUGUGAGUAUAUGAGCAACACAAAGUGACUUUGUUCUUUGUCUUCUAUUUUGGUGGGGGAGAGGUCUAAAGGGUGGGGGCAGUCAUGGGAGGACUGGGAAGUGUGUGUGAUCAGGGUUGAUGAUAUAAACUUUGAAAACGAUCAAUGAAAAGUUUAUAGGAAAAAAAAAGAGUGUCUGUGUGAACUUUGGUGUAGUUACCAUGCAGCCGAGCAGGGUGUUCAACCCCUUGCAGAACCCUGUACUUAUUCUGGGUCCUGUGGCUAAUCUGGGCUAAUCCUUGUGAUAGGCAUCAAUGCUGUGUGGAUGUAGAUUGACCUUCUUCCUUUUCUUCCUUUCUUCUGUGAGAUGAUGAAGGAGCAGCAACAGCAAGGCAGAUUAUAUCUCUGGCUGCUCCUGGGUACGAUUGAGAAAGAAAAAGAACCCUUUGCCACAGCCUGCAAUGGGACACAGUAGCGAGGGGCCUUUUUCCAUCUCUUGGGAUCUCCUCAGAUGACCCUGCCAAAUGAGUGCCCUUGGCCUCUGGAAAUGUGACACCAGCAGAUUUUCCAGAUUCCUUUGUAAGUUCAGCAUGGCUCAGGAGUGCGUUCUGACCAACGGAACGCUCACAAAAUGAUACCGUCCAUGCCUUCAAGUUCUGGCCUAGAGAAGACGUGGUGUGUCCCACUUGGUUUCCUUCCUACAUCAGCCAGUAGGAUUCAGAGGUUGGGGGUUAUGCUCUGAGGUGGCUAGGGGAUGGAGCAGCCCUAAAUGGAAGAGGAUUGGAUCCCUGAAUGACCAUCGGAAGAGGGCUCCCUUGGAUCAUAGUCUACACAGCAAUGUGGCAUAACAAUAGACUUUUGCAUUGGUAAGAAACUAUAAUUUGGGGAUUUUAGUAGAUGUCUCAUGUAUAUUUGUGUUAGAGUUAUGCAACAAAAUUUAAAUAUGUUGCCCUUUGGGUCAGAUUUAAAUAAAUGUCAAUAUCAGAGCUAGAGAGAUGGCUCAGCAGUUAAGAGCACUGGCUGCUGUUCCAGAAGAACUGAGUGCAGUUCCCGGCACCUACCAAUUGGAGGCUCACAACUGCCUGUGUUCCAGGGGACCCAAUGCCCUCUCUGACCUCUGUAGGCACUGCAUGCACAUGGUGCCCAUACAUACAUGGAGGCAAACACUCAUGCACAUAAAAAUGAUAAGUCUUUCAAAAAAGCAAACAUCACUUGAAAAUUAUUCUACCUUGAAAAAAACUAAACUACCAAAUGAACUGAAACCAAAUUAAUUUAUAUGAGAUUAGUAAUUUAUCUAGUAUGAUUUAUUGUAACUCAUCUAUCAAGGGAGGGAAUGAGUUGAAAUAUCUGGAUAAAAUUCUCAAGGUUUUAUAUCCUAUUUAUGAGUCCUCCAGAGUUUUGUAUCAAGUUUGUUCUCUGAUUCUGAACUCCUUCAGAAAGCAGUUUUAUAUUUAAUCCAGAAUGUUUGGUUGUUGCCAGGCAUCCACCAAUUAAUAACACAAGCCCUAACUUUUAAAGCCAAAGCCAGGAUGGGGUUGAAGAAAAGGACCCUGGAAUUCUUGCCCUUAGGACUGAGAAAACAAGAAGGUUUCAUGUUUGAAAUUCCGUACUAGGUUUUCUCGUUUUUCCCCUUUUGGCUUCUGCUCUAGGAAAGAGGAAGGAAGGAAUGCAUAAUUGCAAUUCAUUACCUAAAAGCUGGGGAUUGAUGGAUUUUUGUCUGAUGCUCAUCGGAGAAGAGAUGCACAUCUACAGCAGAGAACACAGGCAGGUGUGAGGACGGGUGGACAGCAGGUGGAAGGACGGAUGGACAGCAGAAGGAUGCUCUCCACGUGAAAGGGAGAGAAGCAAACCCAUAAAAGUCAAACCAGGUCCUAAAAUUGAAGAUGGAACUCAGGCCAGUUCUCGAAGGGGAACCCAUGUAGGAAUAAGGUUCAGACAUUUCACUGCUCAGUUCCCAGCCGGUGGCACUGUUUUGGAAGGCUGAAGAGGCCUGGCCUUGUGGAGGACGUCUGUUCCACAGCGUGGGGCUUUGAGAAGUCAGAGUCUCGCCCGUCAUCUUCUCUUUCUGCUUCACGCUUGAGUUUGAAGAUGCGAGCUCUCAGCUUCCACCUCCCCCCUCCAUGCUUGCCCCUGGCUGCUAUGCCUCCCUGCCGAGAUGGACUCCUCUUGCUCUGGAGCCAAAGCCCAAAAUAAACUCUUUCUUCUAUAAAUUGCCUGGGUGUUUUAUCAGCAAGAGAAAAGUAACUAAUAUUCUUGGCAGCAUCAAUCAUCCCGAUUUAAAUCUAGCUCUGUUUUCUGAAGGAAUUCGGAAUCACAAAACAAACAUGAGACAAAACUGAGUCUUGUGCGCAGACCACACUGCUGCCUCGUUUCUUUCUCUUUCCUGAUUUCUCCUGGUCAUUUUCCCUCAGUUUUUACAACUUUCUCCUUUCUUUCCUUUUAUUGAAAACAGAUUUUUUCCCCUUCAAUAUUGUAUCUUGAUUAUGGCUUUGUCCUCCGCUAUUCCUCCAAGUUCUUCCCUU